GGUUUCUUUAGCUCACAGUUUGUGGAGGUUUCAGUCCAUAAUCAGCUGGCUCCAAGGCAGGGUGGUGUGGCACAGGGGCAAACAGUUCAAGCUGGCAAAACACAGCAAAAGUGGCAAGAGCAGAAGUGGGGAGGAAGCCUCUUUUCCCCCCUUAUAUUGUAAGCAGGCUACCAUCCCCCAGGGCAGGUAUAGUGCUCACAACAUCUCCAUUGCCUCCUCUUGCACAGGAUGAGGAUGCUUACAAAGUGAGGAUCCUGGCUACCUGCUGAAUCUUAGUUAAACUUCUAAACUUUUCAGUUGACACAAUGUAUCAACCAUUACAGCAGCUCUCCCAGCUCUUCCCAUUUUUAUCUCCUCCCCAUUGGCCAUUCUAGGAAUCCAGGCAACUGGGUUGGAGGUGGCAGAGAGAGGUUGGAGCUAUCAAUCCCCAGCAGUGUGUUCAAUUGGUAUGAUGGGGAGAAGCAGUGGUGCACUCAGAGAAAGAUCCAACGCUGGACCUUCACCAAGGACCAGAAGACUCCUGCUGAACUUUAGCAUUGAAACAUGCUGCCACUGGCACCAUAUGUACUGCUAUUGGCAGUAACUAUCUUCAGAUAAAAACAAGUGCAGACCUGCUUUUAUGGAGCAGCAUAUGUUUAGGCAGUGGAAGACACUGUCCGGUUUGCAAGAAAUCUGUCUUACUAAGUUCUUCUUUUGAACUGAUCAACAAAUUUUGUCAAAAAAUACAGCUUUCUUUCACUUGACCCAUCGUUUUUGACAUGAUAUACGGUAAUACAAGUGAGCCUGAGGAAAAUAGAUUUUAAACUACCAUCCAAUGUCAUCACAGUGCAAGUUAUAAAAGCUAAAGAAAGCAGCAUUAAGAAAAAACAAUUAAUAAAGUAUAAUAUAAAAGUAACUUAAAAUAUGUCAUAAGUUUUAAAU
rnacentral:lncRNA from 1 species